GACGAACGCUGGCGGCGUGCCUAACACAUGCAAGUGGAGCGACGAACCUAGGGCUUCGGCCUGGGGCAAAGCCGCGAACGGGUGAGUAACACGUGGGUAACCUGCCCUGAUGAUCGGGACAACCCGGGGAAACUCGGGCUAAUACCGAAUGUGCCCUCCGGCCUCAAGGCCGCUGGGGAAAGGAAGCUUCGGCCUCCGCAUCGGGAUGGGCCCGCGGCCCAUUAGCUUGUUGGUGAGGUAACGGCUCACC
rnacentral:rRNA from 1 species